rnacentral:rRNA from 1 species
CAUUAUUGAAUCCAAUGGAUGUUGCUGGCCUCUAGGGGCAUGUGCACUCCAACCAUUUCAAUCCACCUGUGCACUUAUUGUAGUCCCGGAUGUUAAAGUCCGGGUCUAUGUUUUCUAUACACACACUAUAAAAAGUUUAAAGAAUGUCUAGUUGGAAACAUAAAGUUUAAUACAACUUUCAACAAUGGAUCUCUUGGUUCUCGCAUCGAUGAAGAACGCAGCGAAUUGCGAUAUGUAAUGUGAAUUGCAGAAUUCAGUGAAUCAUCGAAUCUUUGAACGCACCUUGCACCCUUUGGUAUUCCGAAGGGUAUGCCUGUUUGAGUGUCAUUAAAUUCUCAACUUCAAAGGAUCUUGUUAUCUUUUGAAGCUUGGACUAUGGAGGUCAUUGCAGGCAAUAAUAAUGUCAGCUCCUCUUAAAUGCAUUAGCGGAACUUUGUUAAGGACCAGCUUUGGUUUGAUAAUACUAUCUAUGCCGUCGCUGUGGACUUUGUUAUGUUCAGCUUNUAAUGGUCUUAGGACUGUCUCUUAUGAGGCAUACAAAUUUAAGCUUGACCUCAAAUCAGGUAGGACUACCC